AUCUGCUCUGCCAAGGGUUUUCUGAUGUCUUACCCUGGGGAUCUUCAGACAGUGGUUACCUUUAGGAGACCCACCUGGAACUAACCAUUAAGUGACUGCCCACAUUCAGAUCAGGGACCAUCUUAAUAGUACUCACUGCCAGUCCUCACAAGAGAAGAUGACACGGGUGCUCUCUUCAGACACUCCCAUACAGGAAGUGGAAAAUGUCUUGGUCACCUGGGUGGUUCCAGGCUACAACUUCUUGGUGUCCACUAGACAGGAUAUCUAGGUGUUGGGUGACUGUUCCUCCCACUUUCUGACCCAAUGCCUUUGUGGGUGCUUCUAGAGGUCUUUCCCUGUCCUGCCCAGGGCUGUUGGUGGGUGAGAGAGAUGAGCUUAUUGCAGGAUUGCAGGUUUGUUUAACUCUUGAGUGGUGAGUGUCACAGCAGGUGGGCCCAUAACCACGGCCUUGAGCAUCCUUAGGUUGCUCCUGUUUCAGUGAAGUCACCUUUUGUCAUUCUGAAGCCUGUUAGGAUUACUGUGUGGACCUUGCUGAUUAUAGACUUGAGAAUAUUUGGGACAAGCAGGUAAUAAAUCUGUUUAGACUUUUGGCCAUAAAGGGGAUUUAACUUGUUAAUACUUUCCUAGUGUACCAUUUUGUGUUUUAGCUGACCAGUCAGGCAGUUGGUAGCCUUGGGAUUCUGUGGAUGGAGUUCCAAACCCCACCCCAGUGCCUCAGGAAGGCCCAAGGCAGCAACACCAAGCUGGUCCAAAUGUACUACAUGAGUUUUGAUGAGCCUUGCCCAGUCCUGGACAGUGAGUCCUGUGUCUGGGGCAGGAAUGAGCUGGCCAGAGCCUGUCCCUGUCUCCCCACAGCUGUUCUGUGUGGCCCCAGCACAGCUCUUCACUUGGACUUGAGUAGCUUUCCCUGUCUCAAACCAGUUUUCAGAACCUUUCAAUCACUUCAAGGUUCUGCAUGUUCAGAAUUUCCAGCCGGUAACUCUGAAUGUGACACAGCAUCGGCAUGGACUGAGGGCACUUCCCCUUGUCGCCAGUAUGCUAUGAAGGCACUGCAUGUCAUUGCUGUCAAGGAUGAGGUACGGGGUAAGAAGCACCCCAGGUUCAUGAGAGGUACCAUAGGAAGUUGAUGUGACUUCGGUGAGGACUGACCCUCUACUCAGCAGACUUCUGAGCUCUGGUUACCUGUGUCCUUCCUAGCAUGGGGAUGUGGGUGUCUGAUGAACCUACUGCCUUCUGGCUGAACUGGCCCUAGCAGAAGAGCUUAGUGGUCCAGAGGAAGGAGCCUGAGGGUUGUCCCAGCUCAUCAAAGGGGUAUUUGUGGGGUUGUUGCUGUUACUGGGGCAGCCACUUGAUUUAAGUGAAGACUUGUGUAGUGGAAUCUUGGCUAGGCAGGUUGGAACCAGUGAUGAUCCCUCAGAAUUUAUCUUUUCAGUAUUGGGCUUUUAGACAUAUGUCCAGAAACCUGCCAAGGCAAUGCCAUACAUUUUGUAGCUAUUUUACUUGUGAUGUCUAUCUGUCUGUCUGUCUGUCUGUCUAUCUAUCUAUCUAUUAAUCUAUUAUCUACUUAUCAUCUAUGUAUUUAUGUAUUUAUUUGUUUAUAUAUUUUUGUAUUUAUUUAUUUAUUCAUAUUCUUUUUCCAUAAGAGGACUUAAGCUGGAGAGUCUUAUUUUGUUUUGACAGUAGAUUGGUAAAGUAGAUAAUUGGCAUUUUUCAAAUAUUGACCAGUACUGAUGUCAGGCUUAAGGACCAUUAUUUCAGAGUUUCCCCUUUUCACUUUCAUGAAUGAAUUUUUAGAUAAAAAUUUCCUGAAAGAUAAAGUCCUGACUGUGGGCCAGAGCGGAGGGAAGUUCUUCAUGCCUGAGAGCUGCUCUGGCCUGUGCUCAGCCAGUUCCUGGAGCAGUGUCUGCUCUGCAGCAGACAGGAAGAGCUCUUCCUGUGCCUUUCCAGGGACCCUGCUGAGGUCCUGUGAAGUGCCGAGGCUGCAGACACUUUGUUUGGGAGGGGUCUCUGUCCUGAGAAAACUGCUUCCUAGUGGAAGUGCACUUACGGUGGUCACAGUGCUGAGAGCCCACAGUCUGGAUUUGGGAUUGACCUUGUGGGGCGGUUGGAUCAUCUUGACCCACAGUGCAGCACCAACAGAGAGCCAUUCGAGCAAAAGGGUAAGGGUGGCUUGUAGUACUUGAGGAAAUCAAAUUUCCUCAGCUGACUGGACUGCCUUUUAUUCUUCAGUCAUGUCAUUCCUGACAACAGAAGGCUUGCUGGAAAGGGAUGGUAUGGGGCUAUGGCUUUGCAUGUAAAACACUUUUGAUUGGGAUCCACAGCAGUGUUCUUUUCACCUCUGCCUGCUGCUGUCCUGGCACAGUCUGAUUGUAGUGGAUGCUACAUAUUAAUGAGGAAGUUUUAGAUCCUAAGUAGCAUUCCUGGUGGUGAAAGGCAUUGUGGCUUUCCCAUGGCCUGGGGUCUAAGUGUAAGCUGGAGGACCACUGUGCGCGACCUGAGGAGUCUAGACAUGCUUUUGAAGCGCCUCUACCACCCCAGAUCCAUGAGGUCACCACAGAAAGUGUGGCCUUUUUGGUAAGACUUGCUUGUCCUUCACUCAGGCCUUGGGAACCAGUGGCACCUAGGAUGCUGGUGAUGAUGUCACCAGUGGUGGUCUGCUGGUACCUGUGUCUCCUUGGUGCCUGCACACCGGGCACUUGGAGACUAAUCCUGCCCUGCAGGGAUCAGAUGACUUUCCAUCCGCACAGAGAUUCCUGGAAGUGCCUCUUGACUUGGGAGCUUCUUUCUUUCCCUUGCUCAUUUUCACCUCGUUGCUCUCCUUCCCAGAGUUCCUUGGUGUGCAAUAAAGUAGUAGGUAUAACUGGUUAGGGACUCUUAGUCAUCUCAGGAAAGUCCCACAGAUGGGUACAUGCAAGCUUUGAAGUGGGCAGUGAUCUGUGGAAUUUACUAUACACUCCAGCCUGACAUAGGACAAUGGAGUGAGGAGAAUGCGGGGAACUGCCGUAGCCUUAACAGACACCCAAUACCCAGUGUCAAUGAUGCAUGGGGAUCCAACCAGAUCCUGUGCAUGUAAGACAAGCACUCGACCACUGAGCUGUAUCUUCUGCCUCUUUAUGUCUUAGGUAAAUGAAGCAAUGGAAGGGUUUUUGUAAAUCUCACUUGAGAUUGCCAUUUAUGAACCUAAUUGUCUUGGACAUGCAAUGUCAGUGCCCUGUUCUCUCCUGCAGUGUCUGCAUGGCGUCCACUACUUCUGUUGGUGUUGGGCGUGUGUAGUGUCCCGUGCACUGGGGCCUGUGUGCUUGUGCUGAAGUCGUGCUCACUGCAGCCCUCUAGUUCCUGUUUGAGGAUGAAUGAGUGCUUGUUUGCAGUGCCCUGGACUGACUUGCUUUUGCCCUUGUGCCUAGUUAAGAGAUUUCAAAAGGUCAAUGACUUUUUUUAUACAUUGUUAUAAUAAAUGCUUUAUUGCCCUCUG
rnacentral:lncRNA from 1 species